CCAGGACAUACUUUAUUCAGCUGGGUGCUGAAAAAGAAUCUUGGAAAUUAGGAAACUGAAUGAGGCCUCAUUUCACACUCAGAAUGUGGGUUGCAAUAGUCACUUCCUCUGCUGCUGGGAAAGAAAGAAUUAUACUACCUUUUGAAUUUUGGAUUAAGGAGAGAGGUGUUGGCUUGUCAAACUACCAUGUAUUCCUCAAGACAUAUUUUUGUGGCUUUAUAAAAUUCAAUAUAUAUGUCUAAAUUCAAAAAUAUUUUGUUGCAAUCUGGCCCUUGGACAAACUGAGGCCCUAGCAACUGAUGUUUAUGGCUUUCCGUAGAACCUUUCAGAUAAAAUUUACACAGCAUUUUACUGCAGCUAUUUCACACAAAGCAGAGGAUUUUGCCACAAAACUGAAAGAAAAAAGAAACUGCAUUCUUAAAUUUUUCAUAAAUCAAAAGGUAUAAAAAUAUCUACCUAAACGAUAAAGGAGAUGAGAAACCCCACCCAUGAUGGGAAGAAAGCCUAUUUCAGUUUUGCCUUUACUUCAAGUUCUUUUUUCCAUAUCUGGAAUGCAAUCAGAAUUUUAAUCUUGCCUUGGGUUCCUCCUGGAUUUGGGGAGAAGACAAAACCUGAAAAUCUCUAAUCUGCAUGUGUUCAGCUGCGUAUCUUCUGGAUACGGAAGGAUCACACUGCACAGAGUGCUGGACUUGCAGGAGCCCCGCUUCUCAACCUCCAUCGCUUUAUGAAUGAAUUCACCAGAAAGAAAAGGAAGAAUCAACACUUUCAGAGAUGGAGCCUGUUGAGCCACAGUACCAACUAGUCAAUGCUGAAUCGACUUCUCCCUUUCUACAUUGCCUGAGAGAAGUCAUUGGGGAAUACUCUGUACACGAAUUUUCACUGUUGGGGAAAACAGAGAGUCAAGGGAUUGGAUUGUGGAUUGCAUUGGUGGUUUUCCUCAGUUUCCUCAUCUUCUCCACAAGUUUCUACAUAUCGAAUGCAGAGCAGCCCUUCUUCAAAGGACCUCCUACGGAAGCUGCUAAGGAACUCAGUCUGUAGCUCUGCGUGGAGCCAUGUGUAAACACUGAACUGAGACCUGCCACCUCCUACUACCUAAGGGCCCAUUUUCAUCUGAUAUCAUCCCCCAGAAACAAACUCAUGAUGACUUCCAUGUUUUUUUUAGAUUAGAUACAUGGAGAAUUUUCCUUUCCCUUAGAAUUAAAAUCCUGCAUUCUAAUUUUCAGUAAGCUUUUUUAUUUCUGAAUAAUUUUAAAUUUAAAGAGAAGUUGCAAAGAUAGUAUAGAAUGUUCCCUUAUACCUGUUUUUAUUUAGAGUGAUGUUCCCAGGAGAAAUGAUAAUGCAGCAAUGGACAAGAACAGGAACAAGAGACAGUCUUACCAUCUUCUUACAAUUUAUAGAUGGGACAGUGGAAAGAGAAGCCACAUCGGGGUUGGGCAUGCAGAGACCUGGUCCUAAAUCUGUGUGACUUUUGCGAAAUCCUUUUGCCUCACAGAGCUCUAGGUUCUUAUCUGUCAAACAGGAACCAGACCAUCAGAUCCGUAGAGAUCCAACCAAUGAAGGAGACUUCGAAAACUUCACAUUGCCGUGUCAAUGUGAGGUUGCUGGAUGGUUAUGACAAGAAAUCACAUUAAAUUCACUGGGGUAACAUUGUUCAUGAAACGGGAUAAUGUGUUUCAGCGAUGAACCACCCAUGGCCUUACUACAGACAUAUUUCCACUUUGAAAAUGUGUGUGAGUGUACAUGUCUGUGUGUGAGGCAGAGAUUAGAAAGUGUAAAUGUGUGCGUUUUCAUUUUACACAUCUUACAUUUUCCUUUAAUUUGUUUGAAAGCCUGUUUUGUUUGUGGCUUCCAUUCCUGGAAGUCCCAUGAGUUGUUAGUGGUGAAGAUGGAACAGAUGUGUCCAACCCGGGGGACUCCUGCCCUCAGGGACUGAGCAGCUGCAAACCUCUCUCUCAUCUGAUUCCACUGUUUCUUCCACAUGUACACAUCAUGAGAAAUAUUGUUCAAUCAAUAUCUUCCCUUAAAUCAACUCAUAUGCUUAUUUACAUGAAUUUACCUAAAACAGAAACUUGAUAUCACUUCUGUAAAUGAAAAAAUUAAACUUUCUGGCUUUAAAUAAAGCAUAA
ensembl:lncRNA LINC00943 long intergenic non-protein coding RNA 943